CAGCUCCUAACAUCCGAACUUGGCGUGCCGACAAGUGACAGCUGAGCCUCUUCACAGGUCGAGGUGAUGUUACCAACGAAGACGGUUCAUUCUGGAGCCCAGCCUCAUUCAUCAGGAGUCCAGAGAAAACGUGCUAUUUCCCUGUCUGGUCCCUGGUGACCUGAAGUUGACGAUGCAAGACAGAGACGGUGGUCCAAAGGAGUUCCAGUUUGAAGGGAGAUGAGAACGCAAACGUGGCGGGCGAGUGGUAGGAGGCCAAAGAGACAGCUGAAGCAGUCCACAAAGAAACCAGGCUUGGUCAAGGAGGUCAGGAUCCAAAAAGCCUCGGGCAU